rnacentral:rRNA from 1 species
GAUGAACGCUGGCGGCGUGCCUAAUACAUGCAAGUCGAGCGAACAGAUGAGGAGCUUGCUCCUCUGACGUUAGCGGCGGACGGGUGAGUAACACGUGGAUAACCUACCUAUAAGACUGGGAUAACUUCGGGAAACCGGAGCUAAUACCGGAUAAUAUAUUGAACCGCAUGGUUCAAUAGUGAAAGACGGUUUUGCUGUCACUUAUAGAUGGAUCCGCGCCGCAUUAGCUAGUUGGUAGGGUAACGGCUUACCAAGGCGACGAUGCGUAGCCGACCUGAGAGGGUGAUCGGCCACACUGGAACUGAGACACGGUCCAGACUCCUACGGGAGGCAGCAGUAGGGAAUCUUCCGCAAUGGGCGAAAGCCUGACGGAGCAACGCCGCGUGAGUGAUGAAGGUCUUCGGAUCGUAAAACUCUGUUAUUAGGGAAGAACAAAUGUGUAAGUAACUAUGCACGUCUUGACGGUACCUAAUCAGAAAGCCACGGCUAACUACGUG